rnacentral:rRNA from 1 species
GACGAACGCUGGCGGCGUGCCUAACACAUGCAAGUCGAACGAAGUGGCGAACGGGUGAGUAAUACGUGGGUAACCUGCCCUCCUUUUUGGGUUAAGCCUUGGAAACGGGGUCAAAUACCGAAUAAAGGGGGAUGGGCUCGCGGUCUAUCAGCUUGUUGGUGGGGUGAUGGCCUACCAAGGCGGUGACGGGUAGCCGGCCUGAGAGGGUGACCGGCCACGUUGGAACGUGGAUACGGCCCAGGGACCUACGAGGAGGGGAAGUGGGGGAAAUGGCACAAUGGGCGAAAGCCUGAGGCGGCGGCGCCGCGUAGGGGUUGGGGGCUUUCAGGUUGUAAACCUGUUUCGAUAUCGAACGGGUAGGAGGAAAAAAGGCGCCGGCUAACUACGUGCCAGCGGCGGCGGUAUAC